rfam:Acinetobacter sp. ANC 3832 Contig3, whole genome shotgun sequence.
UGCUUUUUUCGCCUAGGCGGAGCUCGAUCACCUACACAAAUAAUGGUGGAUUUCAUUCAUAACAAUAAAGAUCGAUAUGGUGUUGAUGCAAUUUGUAGAGUUUUACCGAUCGCAGCA